GAUGAACGCUGGCGGCGUGCUUAACACAUGCAAGUCGAACGAUGAAGCCCAGCUUGCUGGGUGGGUUAGUGGCGAACGGGUGAGCAACACGUGAGUAACCUGCCCUUAACUCUGUGAUAAGCCUUGGAAACUGUGUCUAAUACCGGAUAGGAGCGUCCACCGCAUGGUGGGUGUGGGAAAGAUUUAUCGGUUUUGGAUGGACUCGCGGCCUAUCAGCUUGUUGGUGAGGUAAUGGCUCACCAAGGCGACGACGGGUAGCCGGCCUGAGAGGGUGACCGGCCACACUGGGACUGAGACACGGCCCAGACUCCUACGGGAGGCAGCAGUGGGGAAUAUUGCACAAUGGGCGCAAGCCUGAUGCAGCGACGCCGCGUGAGGGAUGACGGCCUUCGGGUUGUAAACCUCUUUCAGUAGGGAAGAAGCGAAAGUGACGGUAACUGCAGAAGAAGCACCGGCUAACUACGUG
rnacentral:rRNA from 1 species